rnacentral:rRNA from 1 species
GACGAACGCUGGCGGCGUGCCUAAUACAUGCAAGUUGAGCGAUGAAGAUUGGUGCUUGCACCAAUUUGAAGAGCAGCGAACGGGUGAGUAACGCGUGGGGAAUCUGCUUUUGAGCGGGGGACAACAUUUGGAAACGAAUGCUAAUACCGCAUAACAACUUUAAACAUAAGUUUUAAGUUUGAAAGAUGCAAUUGCAUCACUCAAAGAUGAUCCCGCGUUGUAUUAGCUAGUUGGUGAGGUAAAGGCUCACCAAGGCGAUGAUACAUAGCCGACCUGAGAGGGUGAUCGGCCACAUUGGGACUGAGACACGGCCCAAACUCCUACGGGAGGCAGCAGUAGGGAAUCUUCGGCAAUGGACGAAAGUCUGACCGAGCAACGCCGCGUGAGUGAAGAAGGUUUUCGGAUCGUAAAACUCUGUUGGUAGAGAAGAACGUUGGUGAGAGUGGAAAGCUCAUCAAGUGACGGUAACUACCCAGAAAGGGACGGCUAACUACGUG